rnacentral:lncRNA from 1 species
GACACUGAUCUGGAGGAGGCAUUCAAGAACCUCUUCUUGGAUGAUCAAGGCUCCUCCCAAGGCGAUGGGAGCGGCACCGGCAGUGGCGGUACUGCUGCUGGUGGCUAGAAGGGGAACUGGUGACUAGAGAGAGGUAUGGCUCUACAUUCUGUCAAUGUCUUUACAUUUUACACUUAUAUAGUUAUGGCAAAAGACUAACAAAACAAUGUUGUUUAUGGAUUUGUAAGUGCUUUUGGACUUUUUGGCAGAGGCAGACAGUGGCAAUGUGUCAUACCAGUGAUAGUGAGGCAAUAUAUUGAUGUUGAUCUUGAUCAGUUGAUGUUGCCAUGUUGGCUGGUGGCCUGGUGUAAUAGGGUAGAUG